CAGUGGUGCGUACUCUACACGCCUCGCCGAAGGUCUACCAUUCCGGAUGGAUCUCCGCCUCUUCACCUGUCGCCCGCUCAUUCCUCCCGGCUACUCCCUCGCCCGCCUUACUCGUCCGCAUUGCCGCCUCGCUUCCUUCUCGCCUCUCUCCGUUGUCGCCACAUCAAGGAUUCAAAUCAAAGCCAGUCCUCGCGAUCUUCCGCAGCGCGCUGCGGCCGCAAGAAGCGAUCCCCAAGGUAACGAGAUCGUCGAUGGUGUCUCAAUGCUUUGCGAGGGUGAUAGUGUUGAGACGGAUGUACCUGAAGUCGAAAUUCUUCGGGCAGAGGCGGAGGACGAGAAAUCGGAGUCCCCUAACAUUUUAAAGCAAAUGAAGGAUAUCGUAAUGUUUGCUGGGCCGGCGACAGGGCUCUGGAUUUGCGGUCCGUUGAUGAGUCUCAUCGAUACAAUGGUCAUAGGCCAGGGAAGCUCCUUGGAGCUCGCUGCGCUUGGGCCGGGGACAGUGUUUUGCGAUUACCUGUGCUACGUGUUCAUGUUUCUGUCGAUUGCCACUUCCAACAUGGUUGCCACCUCACUUGCUAAGAAGAUAUGUGCAGACCCAAAGAUGAAGGCGGCUUGGAGUUUCGAGACUUGCGUGCAUGGAAUUUAGCCAUCUUGGCUAAAGUACUAUGGCAGAUACAAGCUAAAGAGGAUGCACUUUGGAUAAAGUGGAUCCACCAUACUUACUUGAGGCAUGCAGAUGUAUGGACCUGGGAAGCAACCCACACAGAUUCUCCUCUGAUCAAGCGUGUGUUGCAAAUAUGAGAUCUUUUUCAUCAGCUGCUGGAUCACUAGAGGUCGUUGGACAGAGGCUAGCAAAUUGGUUUGCUAGGGAUGACGAUGUGUUCGAGCAUAUGACUUCUUUAGGCAUCAUAGUCCUAAGAAGCCAUGGUCCGGACAAUGUGGAAGACCUAUGUACAGCCAAGUCACACAGUUACCCUCUAUAUGCUAGCAUAGAGAUAUAUUCCCACUAGAGACAAAAAGGAGUACAUGCAGGAUCGUCAGUGCACAUUUUGUAGACAGGUGCCGGAGACACAAGACCAUCUAUUCUUUGGAUGCCCCCUAUAGCAGAGUUAUAGGAGGCGGAUUAGAGACUAGCUUCACAUGUGAUAGGAGAUGUCCAUAUAUCAGCAAAUGAUGCGAGUUUUUGGAAGGCAUUAUCAUGGGAGCAUAAUGUUGAUAAAGGAUAGAAAAAUAGUACAACAUCAGAUAUCUAUGCUACUUUUUGUGGCUUUUGCUUGUGGGCUCGGAAUGUUUCUGUUUACAAAGUUGAUGGGCACACAGAUACUAUCUGCUUUUGUUGGAUCAGAAAAUCUGCACAUGGUUC